GCUUUAAGAAGCUAUUGGAGGCAUAGGAAUUUUGGGGAGUUUCCUGUGUGAUCUCAGAGUGGAUGUUAUGUUCUUAUGAGCAUGCAUGGAGUUGGGAACUCAAGGUAGAUUUAUUAAGAUAGCCUUUAUUGUAUCGGUAAUUGUGAUACUAUUACCCAGCAUAUGACCAGCCUAGAAACUAAUUGAACAAGACAAAACCCAGUUGUCAUCUGGAAUUUGAGUGCAUUGGACUUGACUUAGAUUGCAGCCUUUCUCAGCAGGAUUUGAAUAAAAGGAAAGGGAAUCUUAUUUAUGAUUG
rnacentral:misc_RNA from 1 species